rnacentral:rRNA from 1 species
UGGGGAAUAUUGCACAAUGGGCGCAAGCCUGAUGCAGCCAUGCCGCGUGUAUGAAGAAGGCCUUCGGGUUGUAAAGUACUUUCAGCGGGGAGGAAGGUGUUGUGGUUAAUAACCACAGCAAUUGACGUUACCCGCAGAAGAAGCACCGGCUAACUCCGUGCCAGCAGCCGCGGUAAUACGGAGGGUGCAAGCGUUAAUCGGAAUUACUGGGCGGAAAGCGCACGCAGGCGGUCUGUCAAGUCGGAUGUGAAAUCCCCGGGCUCAACCUGGGAACUGCAUCCGAAACUGGCAGGCUUGAGUCUUGUAGAGGGGGGUAGAAUUCCAGGUGUAGCGGUGAAAUGCGUAGAGAUCUGGAGGAAUACCGGUGGCGAAGGCGGCCCCCUGGACAAAGACUGACGCUCAGGUGCGAAAGCGUGGGGAGCAAACA